UACAGAGGGUGCAAGCGUUGUUCGGAUUUACUGGGCGUAAAGCGCGUGUAGGCGGUGGCGUAAGUCGGAUGUGAAAUCCCUCGGCUCAACCGAGGACGUGCAUCCGAUACUGCGUCACUUGAGUGUCGGAGGGGAUGGCGGAAUUCCCGGUGUAGAGGUGAAAUUCGUAGAUAUCGGGAGGAACACCUGUGGCGAAGGCGGCCAUCUGGCCCGUAACUGACGCUGAGGCACGAAAGCGUGGGGAGCAAACAGG
rnacentral:rRNA from 1 species